GGCACACAAGCUGCUGGACCUCUACAGGAGCAGAUCUACCAAAGAAGAAACACAGACAUCUGGACGUGGAGAGGAGCACAUCAGUGGAGGAACACACAGGUGGCUGGAUGUCAAGAGGAGCACAUCAGCAGGGCCUGGGAUGCGGACAGGCCACGGAGCAGCAGACGGAGAGGCUGAGUUUUGGCUGGGGCAGUCAGAGGACAGCCCGGGCCAAGGAGCAGCCUGACUCCAGGGAAAAAACCGUCUCCCUUCUGGCUCCCCCAUAUGCUGAGAGCUACGUCCACUCAAUAAAACUUUGCACUCGUUCUCCAAGACCACGUGUGAUCCGAUUCUUCCAGUACACCAAGGCCCCCCAGCAAUAACUUAGGAGAGAAUGUGAGAGAUCAGACAGCAAAAGAGGACCAUGUGGAUUACUGUAAAAUGUUAUCAUCCAGAAAAACCUAAAGGGUAAAGUUAUCCAAGAGGGAUGCGGUCCCUGCACCUCUGCCUCUCUUCCGUCCCAGCUGAAGCAGAUUGCAUUUGUGAGUAGCAUAUUUACCCAAAACAGAUUCAAUCAUGAGGUUCACUGCUGAUGAGGACGGAAAUGUCUCUAUUUUCAUAAAUGUGAAUUGGGGAUUCUCAGUAGAAGAGGUGUUGGCCAGACCGGCAUGCUGCUUUCAGGGAUAUCGGCCGCAAGAAAUCAACGCAGGGGGCCGUGGCUGUGGGGAACUCUUGUGGAUUCAGAACAGGAGGCUGAGGUUCCUGGGUCUGGGGUGAAUGUCCCAACACACUUUUCUUGCCAACCCUAAUCCCUAACUAGUUAAGGGCAGAUCCCAAGGAAUGUUUUCCACUGUGACUCCUCCUUGGCAGUUGAAGAUGAAACUGUGAUGUUUCCAAUUGCAGCCCUAUUCUUUAGAAAGCUUUCUCCUUGAAGUUCAUUUCUUCUCAACCAAAGCCCAGGUUCUCUCCUGAAAAUGAUGAAGGCUUUGGAAAGUCCCUUUCCUUCUCUGGGUGCUUAUUUCCCAUUUCUAAGGUGAGGAUGGGAGCCUGGGGAAUGUGCUCGUGCUAUGUCUUUGAAACCAACAGUACAAAGGGUUGGAGGCUGUAUAAGAGUAUGGUUAGAUAGAAGGUUGGUUAUGGUGUCUGUAUCCUCCAGAGUUGCAGAAGGAAUACAUGAUAUGAUCAACACAGCUUUUAAUUAAAUAGAUUUUUAAGGAAAGACACAGAUGUGUCACAGAUGAGUCACAGACUCUAUUCCAUUUAAGGUAAAUUUAAAGACCGAAAGAUGCAGGUGGAGCUAAGGAAAUAAUAGACGGCAAAACAACCAGAGAGUAGUGACAGUGGGAAGCUGUUCCUACUCUUGGUCUGAAGGGAGGAUAGAAGGGUCAUGUCACCAGUACUGGUGACAGUUGUAGCUGCGUUAGAGAAACUGCCCAGAGAAACCUCGAGGGAACAUGUGGAUACACAGAUUCCCCCUCCUUUCUGCUAUCUGCUCAUCUCCCAUGGGCUCCUCCCAUCUUCUCAUCUGCGGUGCUACAUCUUGUUAUUUACAGCCAACCAAAAGCUGGAAGGCAAGGGGGUGCACCUGAGGCAGUUCAUGGAGAUCAGCCUCUCUGGACAAAAAACAAGAUGGGGAAGGUUCAGGUCUAUCCGAGAGGCAAUGAAAGUAUCACCAGCACAGUAGGAUGGCUGCUGGAAGAAAUCAGCCCUGAGGUACCACUGCUCAAAUGCAAUAGAAGUCUAUUUCUUCCUCAGAUAAUUGUCCAGAAUUGGUUUUCCUGGUUGGUGGGUGCCUCUACUCCACUCAGGAACUCAGGGACUCAGGACGGCUCCAGCUGGUGACUUCCCCUCCUCCUGGGGCAUCGUCUGUGUUGGCAUCCCAUCUUCAGAAGGGAAAAAGGGCAUAAAGACACAUCUGUGUCAGGUUUCUUAAGAGCCAUGCCUGAAAUUGGCAAGAAUCAUUCACAUUCACAUUUGUUUAAAGACAAUUUGGUUACAUAUUCACAUCACACUACAAGGGAUUCAGUACAAUGAAGAGGAGUUUUGUGCCCCUGAAAGGGAAAGCAGAAUUCUGUUAACACGUAGCAUCUGGGAGAGAAUUCUGCAGAAUCCAGAAUUCUAAGUUUUCUAGAAGAUCAUUUUUCUAGCAUCUUGGAGCAGGAACUCUGUGAGUGAGGUUCAAUAUCACUGAACCCCACCUUCACCCCAAUAUAGUAAGAGGGAAACCUGUAGUAAGAGAAAAAUCACUCUGAAGUGAUUUUAGGGUAAAGCCCCUGACACGUGUGAGCGACAUUCUCAGAGUGAUGUCUCCACUCUGCAGUGACACACUCAUGUUUAUCUCACACCUGCCUCCGUCAGGGUUCAUGUCUUCCUUUCUCCUCACUGUGGUCCUGUGGGUUAGUUCUGUAUUGAGCAUCACAAGUUAACUUCACCCAUAAUCUAUCCCAGCCACAGGGACCCCAGCUGCCACAAUCCAGUGUCCCCUGGAUAAGCAUUAAGUCUUGGGACUGAAUACAGGUUGUAAUUUCCUCUAGUUCACAAUCAAAAAAAAGAACUGCAGAUGUAAAGAUUUCUGCACGAAGCCCUCAUUCUGUGUCAGGUAUCACAUAACCAGUCUCCUUAAGUAUCCAACCUUGAGAGAUCGAUAAGCAUUGACCUGAUGACGCAUUAUCCCUUGAAACCAUCAUAGAUGUUUUUGAUAUGUGCUUUUGGUUGUUGCUCAAUAAUUUAUUUGAAUGAGCGCCCAUUUAUUUUCAGAAAAUUACUUUUGGCUUCCUGAAAGAGGUGUAUGCAUGAAGAACAGCAACAAGCCAUACUAGUCCUUGUUCACGCGUCUGGUUGUGUUUUUCCCAGUGUUCUCUGCAAUGAGUCUCAGACCAUCACAGAAGCUGCGAUAUUAGCAGGGGAAUAACCAUCAGACCAGACCACAAAGACAAAAGUUGGGUUUCAGUGCAUGAUAUUCUCUCUACGUUAGCCAUAAUGAUUUGAACUAGCGCAUACCCUUGUCAUUCGUAAGCAAUGUUCUACGAUAUUCUAAAUUCCCUAAAUUUGCAUAAAUUGUGGCAUGCAAUUCCAACCUCAGUUGCAGUAAAUAUAACUGGAAAAUGUCGUUGAACCCUAUAGACCCUAAAUUGUUUUAUAAAUAUAGAACCAAAGUAAUUUAUUAAGCUAUUUUCUGGCUAAGAAUCAGCAUUUUGUAUUCACUGGCACUGCAAGCAUUAACAGUUGGCUCGCACUUCAGGGUCAUUUUCUGCAAAGAAAUCAAGUCUUCAUACUUUCACCACAAUUUGUGCUUAAGCAGUGAGGAGGAUGAAAGCUGCACAAUCCCACCGAGAGGCUAGCUCAGCAACUCUCAACUGGCAUCAGUCUCCCAGCCCUGAGCAAAAGUAUAGAUUGUUCCAAGGAUCCAGAUCUUUGGGCAGGCCCAGCCCCAAUAUUUUGCCCAAUUCACUCUGUGUGGGUGCUAGUGUUCUCUGAAAAGUGGUUUUUAGCUCCCACUGUAAGUCCUGCGCCUUUCUGUAUCAGGAAUUUUACCACAUGUGUCUAUUUAUACAUCCGAGUCUUGCUAUAGACUUUUAGCUCCUUGACCAGGCACUGUGACUCAGAAAUUACACAGCCAUUGGAUACUUUCCUGGAAGAAUAUCCUUGAGAAUUCUGUAGAGAUAUUUUGUCAACUUUCGCAGUAUCAAGCAGCAGGUGCCAGAGCUGAGAUUUGCUCCUGGACUGAUUCCAAAGCUGCAGACUGAUAAUGCAUCUUCAAACCAAAAGGAAGAGGGUUUCAUGACCCUCUGAGGAUGGGCAUACGGUUUCCACCUAACCUUAGGAUGAUUGUAGGAUGUCACUUCUCUCAGGGGCUGUGCAAAUUCAAUCUCAAGAAAUUGUUGAGAUCCUUUUGGGCUACAAGCAGGAAUAAGGCACUGUAUCGGCCAUGGAGUGGCUGGACCUAAUGAAAAUCCUAUUUCAUAUUUAGGCAAAAUAAUUUCUACAUGACUUUUCCUAUCUUCUUUCUCCAGCAUCUGCUAUCACCUCAUACUGCUCCAGUUGUGUUUCUGGAUUCACUCCACAAUUCUCACUUCUUUCAGUAUUAUUUGCUGGCAAGUGUUAAACAGCCUGUAUGGGCCAGAGGAGAGGAGGGAGCCUAAAUUUGCAGUGUUUGCUGACUUGGAGCUAAAAUAUUUGUCCAAGCAUUUCAAGGACAAGAGCAAAAGCGUGGAAGGUGGAUCAAAAUUAUGUGAAGAGACAAACAUCAAGAUUACAGAAAGAAGUGCCAAUAACAUUAGCUAUGAGCGAUAGAAUAGAAGAUGAGAUUGCAGUAACUGGAGAAGGCAUUAGUGGUGGGCUCAGUGUGCUACGGUCAGAGCAAGGAAGGAGGGGGCGUGGCUGGACACAGUACUUCUACUCCUGUGGCCUAAGCUUGUGUUGCCUUCUGGUAGUGGUUUCCUGAACCUGCUAGUUUAUGUUCAGGCAAAGCCACUGCUGAUAAAGAAAAUACAGUCAAUGAAGACAAUCCAUGGUGGUGAGACGUACACAUUUUUGGAAUAACUUUUUUAUUUUGAUUUUAAACAAGCAAACAAAAACAAGCACCAGUCACAUCAAAAGCAGGUCUGUGCAUUUUGCACUGGGGAGGAAAAAAAAAAUCCCAAUCCCGAAUAUAGUUUUCUAAAACUUACUCUUCAUGGAAGCUUCAAGACGUUCCUUUCUCAAGAAACAAAACGAAACAAAACAUCAAAGCUUCACUAAGACUAAAAACCAAAACACCAGGAGAAAUGCAAGUGUCAAGUUGAAGAAAGCACCUUAAGGAAAUUUGUGAAAGUGAAGCAACUAAUUACUGUUUCCCUCUGGGCAGAGUUUAUAAUAGCACGGAAAAAAGUGGCCAAAUGUUAUGUGGAAAUGCUUAUAAAUAACUCAGGACUUCACAGACUCUGUGACCUUAGGAAUGCAUUACCACCUGUGAUAUAUGCCCCUGGGACAAAAGUCUUGUGGUCAGGCGUGGGCAGAUAAGUGCUGGGAAGACAGUCCCUCAUGCGCACAGCCCAAGAGUUGCACCAAAUUGUGUGGCCUAAAAUCUCAUUAUCUAUACUUCUGUUGAAGUUUGCUAAGAAGUUUGAUUGCCAAGAACCUUCCCUUAAGUACUCCAGGAGGAACUUUUCAUUGACACUAUUGUUAGGGAACACCCUAGCACACUGGUUCUCUACCAUGAAUGCACAUUUCGAAUCUCCUGGGGAACUAUGCAGAAAAGUCCAGUGGGCAUCUGGACUUCCUCCUCAAGAUUUCUGGAUUAAGCUGGGAAGUCCUAAUAGGUCUUGGGUAAAACCUGGACAAGGACGGUUUUUGAAAGCCAAACGGGAUGGAGCUGUUGAAAAGCAGAGUAUCAUAGGAUCAGUUCCUCUGGAAUAACUUAUGAAGAACGCUUUGCAUUCUCCAGCAUUGAUGUGAUUUUAAAAUCAGGGUGAGUGCGACACCAGCUGAAGCAAGAGAAUAUUUAUAUUGUGGCCACAUGAGGGACCCCCGCGUCACAAUUCUCUGCUGACAACUGCGUAUUACAAUAAUUCGCCUUCCUAAAUGCUCUGCAUUCUCUACUUUCACAAUCACAGGUGAGACGAGGGAUAUCAGAUUGGUUUCACUUGUCAUGUCAUCCCUAAUAGAUGGGUGGUGAUUGCCUGAGUGCUGUGUUGCAAAACAAUCAGAGGCUGCAUCUGAAAACAGCAGUAAAAGCUACCUGAUCAAUUAGUGAUGUCUGCCAAGGGUGCUUGGAAUGAGGAAUGGCAAUGCACAGGACAGACUUUGCUAGCUUUGCAUAACUCAACAGAAGCAGAGCACUGUCUUCAGGUGACCUUAUGCAUCUCCACGUGUAUAGUACAGAGAGUGCCCUCUCCCAUCAGAAUAGUAGGAUGUAUUAGGUUUACUUAUAUAACUAGUCAAUACCUUAGGAGGUCUUUUCAGCUUAGUAUUGGAUACGUUUUUUUGCUUUUGGUUUGUUUGUUUUAUCUGCCUUUCCUAAAACACAAUAGGCAUAGAAAGCACUGAUUGUAAGAGGCUUAUAGUUUCACUGGAGAAAGUCUAUAUGCAAGCGACAACUAAUAAGCACGGUAUUAUUUAUUGUGACAGAAUUGUGUGCUGAUAUAAUAAAGACAAUAAAGAGAGUAAAUUCUUAAUGGCGUGGUCUGAGGAACAAACACUAAUUCUAUAGUCCACCAGAUACCGCUUUGACCAAGGGGAUAUUGGAGGCAAAUGGGUACAUUCACAUUCUGAGCAGAGCUGGUUUCUCUCACAAAUGAUCACAACACAACACAGCACAACCCAACACAGCACAACAUGAGCCUCAUCAGCCUAUUAUUCUUUAAUCAAUUCAACGGUAAUUUGUCCAACUUCUCAUUAACUUUCUUUUCUCCUAGGCAAGUGUUCCAGCUUCUUAGCUUUAUAUAAAGAACAAGGAUCCAGGCAUCCGACAGACCUGUCAGACCUCAGCUCUGCCACUUAACUUUGUGGCCUCCAGACAGUCUCUGAUGCCUACAAAUCCCUGUUGCCACCUACAAGGUGGAUAUAACAAAACCUCCCUUGCAGGAAUAUUUUAAGAUUUAAGAAGAUAUGUCAACAAUCUGGUGCCUAAUAGGGUUUCAUUAAAUGGCAAGAUAUUAUUUCCUCAAUUAUAAAGUGACAUUGAUUUUAAGAUGUACUCUUGGAUUAAUAGAAAGUUUCCCGGGCUGGGGGGAAACAUCCCUUCCUUAUAAUGUACCUCGCAUUGUAAUGUGAGUCUGAAUUUUACCGACUGUAACAUGUGAAGUGCGUGUGAGCCUAGCUGCAGCGGUAUGUUGCCAGAUCCAGCACGUACAGCCAGAACAAGCAGAGGAGCAGCAGCAAAUGGUCCUCCAGAGCCCACCACGUGCCAGGAACUGCCAUCAAACAUUUAAUUCUCGCAGGAACCCAACCAGGUUGGUCAUAUCAGCCACACACGUUACAGACAAGGCCACUGACGCACUACUAUGAGAGUAAACUGGCUAAGCCCUCAUAGCCAGAACGUGGCAGAGCCUGAAUUUCAGCUGGGCAUCCUGACUCUCAAAGCCAUGCCCUCAGCACCGUGCUGGGCUCCUCAGGGCUGCCUGCUGGAAAGUGUCCAGACCUGUGAGUGGAGGAACCCUGAAGGCUGGCAGGGAGGGGACAUGGAAGCAGAAUCAAGAGGGAAGCGGACUCACCAUGGAGAGAGGCUGCCUGCAGGCCACGGGAAGCACCUACAAGGCAGCUGGACGCUGAGGCUGGAAGCCUAGGGAGUCAGCAGACAGGAGGCAGGAGUGAGGCGCAUGAGGAAAAGCAGUUCUGGGAAAACGCAGGACACCACCCACACGUGCAGGUCAUGGGGUCUGAUGUUUUCUGUCAAGAGGGAAGUGGACAUGGGUAGGCUGUCAUUUUCCUGCUUGGAACAGACUUUGAAUCUGGUUCCCUGUUUCUUCUGAGGCCAUGCCCGCAUACCUCAAGACCAAGAGAACAGUUGGAGUAUGUUAUGGGUUAAACUGCAUCCCCUCCCAAAAUUCAUAUACUGAAGUCCUGACCCCAAGUACCUCAGGAAUAAAUCCUGCUGGCACCUUAACUUCACAUAUCUGGCCUCCAGAAUUGUGAGAAUGUUGUGUAAGCUGCCCAGUUUGUGUUAUUUUGUUACUAAUCCGGGAUAUAUGAUGAACACCUGGUUAUCUAUAGGCUGAUUAGUCCAUUUGGCAUAUUUGAAAGAAGAAAGUAUCUUCCAGAGUCUAUGUAUUUCAUAUAUGACAAUUUGUUUUUUAAAAAAAGCUCAUUGUGAAAAAGUGUAUUGGCACAUUCUUGUAUUUUCCAUGUCAGAAUUCAUUUAUACACUUACUUCUACACCAACAACUAGAGAUAUGACUUUGGACAUUGGUAUCAACAAAGGAACAUUGUGUAAACAUAUACCUGCUCAUUGUUCUCUGUGAACUUACUCCAGAGAUUUACAGGUUCAUCAUGAUGGACUGUUACGGAAGCCAGAACAUGUAGACAGGGGGUCAAUAUAUUUUGUUAAAGGUAACAAUAUAGUUGCAUAACCAGGGGCUAUGAGAACACCAGAACAGUAUAACUAACCCAGCCAGUAGGACUUGAGGAGAGCUUCCCAAAAGAGCUGGCUCCUGAGAGGAGCAGUACGCUAUGCACCUCAAAAUUCAGUUUAACAGACGUUCAUCGACUGUCUUUCCUCCUUCUUUUCUUCAUCGCAAAAUGAACCUUCCCACACCUAAGUAUGCAUCACCAUCACCUGAAGGACUUGUAGAACCAUGAACUCCUGGGCCCCACCUCAGCAUGUCUGAUCUGGCACAUCUGGAGUGGCCCCAAGAAUCUGCAUUUCUAGCAGUGCUGGUGCUGCAGGUCCAAGGCCCUCACCCUGAGAUCCACUCAGUAAACAUUUAUGAGCAUCAACCUGAAACCAGGUAUCUGUCCUCAGGGAUGCAGAAUGAAUAAAACAUAGUUCUGCCUUCAUGAGAAUAAUGGAUAUCAAAUCAAUCAACCCCUUUAUAAUGCAGUAGCAUUCUCGAAUCUCUGUUUCUUCAUGGAAAAAAGUAAAAUACGCAGUGCAUGAUAAGAGCUAUUUCUCCAACACCAUCGUCCAUGCCUACAGAGGAAGGGUUUUUCAGAAAUGGUGAUGUCACACGUCUAUUCUUUUGCCCUCUAUUUGUACACUUCAGUGUUGUAGUCUGGUGAAAACAAAGUCUGGCCUGCAAAGGAAAGAAUUUAUAGAUGUGGAAGUUUGGAUUGACAGAUCUUGCUAACAUAAACACGCUGGAACUUUGUUUUUCUCCCCACUUCCCUUUAUUGAAGGGCAGUAUUUACAGUAAGUAGCAUGGGUCUGCCUCUUAGAUACCCACAAAGCAGCAAAGAAUGAUCUGAUGUGCUUUCUUGAAGGCUGUCAGGAUUGGAUAAUCAGUUCUUUAUCUCCUGUGACACAUGUCGAAAAGACAUGAGAACCAGAUGAACACAGCAGUGAACUCUAUCAGAAAGACACCAAGACAAUGAAGGAACAAAAGCAAUGGUCUGACAGGAAGGAUCCUGUUUUUUUUGUUGUUGUUGUUGCUCAUGAGCUGCACUGUCAAAUAUCUGUAUUUGUGCUGGUUGUGUCUUGAAAAGGUCUUGGGGCCAGCUGUGCAAGAAUGCAUGCACUUGACCAAAACAAAACUCAGUAACAACCGAACAAGUGUUUCUCUUAUUUCAAAGGCCAAGCGCUUGGCUUUAGAAGGAAAAGGGAGUCCUGUGAAUUGCUUCCCUUCGAGCACUAUUUGUCUGUCCCCAUAAUAUGCUACUUCUGCCUGAUGUGGGCAGGCCUAUUGUCUAUCAUUAAGAAAUCAGCUGUUUUUUAAGAGAAUGACAGGUGGAUAUAAGCAGGCACCUCAAAUCUAGGUGUCUGGUCAUUUCUGUAGUGCUCACAUAAACAGUUUAGGAAUUCAUAAGUAUGUUAUUCAUAAGACACUCUCUUGUAGGUAGUUAAAAUGUUUGGUGCUGUAGGAAUAAAGAAAAUCAAGAGCUUUCACCAACUCCCUUGCCCCGAUACAUUUGAGAGAUAUUUUAUUGUUAAAAGAACAAAGGCUUGUUGUCUGCCUGGCCAGUUUGAAUUAACGUGGUGAUUGAUUUUUUUUUUAAAUGAAAUUUGUAUUGAACGUGGAAGAAAAUAGAUUUACUUAAAAGCACACGCACAAGGAUGCAUCUGAAUUUGUACUGUUAGUAUUUUCACUACACUGCUGUGGUCGUUCCUUAUUGUUCCAUUUUAGAUUCAGUUCCCUCCAUUCCGAAUAUAUUUAUGAAGCAUUUUCUAGGUGCCAGACACAUAGACACUAGGAAGAUGAAUAUCCGGGUCCUUGAUUUUAAGAUGUGCACAGAUCUGUUUUCCAAAUUAAUGAUCUAAUUUCCAUUACUAUCAUUCACAAAUAAUGUUCAUACCCAUAGUUCUACCUUUUGUUAAACCUCUCCAACUUAUAAAGGAUCUCAUUUGUACAACCCUGUUUAUCCUUCCAUUCCAUAAGCACAGAAGGGAUGCUUGCCCUGGAUCCCUUGCCCAUUCAUCCUCGCGGCUGCUUCUGUUCUUUCUAGGGCUCUCCGGUUCAAAGGUGUACAUCUUAGAUUUAGGGAUUCACUUAGAUUACUCUCAUGCUAACAGUCUGGAAUUCCCGUGAAAUAGUUCAAGAAAAAAUUAAUAAAUUGUAUUAUGUAGAAAAACUUCUGUGUGCGUGUAUAAACAUAAGCAAAGUGAAAAAGACAGAAGACAUACUGGGAAAAAUGUUUUCAACUUAUAUGGAAUAUAAAAAGCUAGCUCCCAAAUAUAUAUAUAUUUAAAACCCUGUUGAAAAUAACAAAAAGGAUAAAAAUACCUAUAGCAAGAAAUGGGAGAAUGGCACUGAUAGACAAUUUACCAUCAAGAUAUACAAAUGCUUUACAUCUAUGAAGUGUUCAACCUCACUCAUGCUCACACAUGUCAAUUUUAACUGCACUGACGUGCCAUCUCUUAGCUAUCAGAUGGGAAGUACUCAGAGGUUCAAUAAAUAUUCUGUUUGAGA